GUCUUGUAAUUGGAAUGAUGGGAAUUUAAACCUCUUCCAGAGUAUCAAUUGGAGGGCAAGUCUGGUGCCAGGAUUCGCGGUAAUUCCAGCUCCAAUAGCGUAUAUUAAAAUUGUUGCAGUUAAAAAGCUCGUAGUUGAAUUUCUGCUGCAUUACAUAUCUCUUGUUUGAGUUUGUUUUUGUAGCUUAUUUCGGAUUGAUUUUUUCUUUCCGGAUGAUUACUUUGAGAAAAUUAGAGUGCUCAAAGCAGGCUUUUGCCUUGAAUAGUUUAGCAUGGAAUAAUAAAGUAGGACUUUGGUUCUAUUUUGUUGGUUUUAGGUACCAAAGUAAUGGUUAAUAGGAACAGUUGGGGGCAUUCGUAUUUAACUGUCCGCAGUGAAAUUCUUAGAUUUGUUAAAGACGAACUACUGCGAAAGCAUUUGCCAAGGAUGUUUUCAUAAUCAAGAACGAAA
rnacentral:rRNA from 1 species